rnacentral:lncRNA from 1 species
UGCAGCAGCUGCUCAAUAUCUCUCACCUGCACUGCAGCCUCAGCCAAUCAGCAGCAGAUCACACUGUCAAAGCAGCCCUCAGCUGACUUUACUCAAAAAAUGUGUGAUUGAGUGUCCGGGCGCUCACCUCUUCAUGAUGUUGAGGAUGCUGAUGGGCAGGUAGCAGAGGGCGAACACAAACAGCACCACCAUCAGCAUCCGUGCAGUUUUCCGCCGGGCUUUCACCUGCUUGGCCUCCGCUGACACUGUGCUGGUUCUCACCUUCACCGAUUCUCCAGACCCGACCGCAUGAGCCGAACACUGCAGAGACUUCCACUGCCUCUGGAGGACCGAAGACGACCCUGGAAUCUGAUUACAGGUCAA